GUACACGCUGUGACUAGCAUAUCAAUAAGGCGGAGGAAAAGAAACUAACAAGGAUUCCCCUAGUAACGGCGAGUGAAGCGGGAAGAGCUCAAAUUUGAAAUCUUAAAGGGUUUCCCUUUACGAAUUGUAGUUUAAAGAAGUGUUUUCUGUUGAGGUUUUGGUAAAAGUUCUUUGGAAUAGGACAUCAUAGAGGGUGAGAAUCCCGUAUUUGACCUUUACUUUCAACUUUGUGAUACACUUUCAAAGAGUCGGAUUGUUUGGGAAUGCAGUCCAAAAUGGGUGGUAAAUUUCAUCUAAAGCUAAAUAUUGGCGAGAGACCGAUAGCGAACAAGUACCGUGAGGGAAAGAUGAAAAGAACUUUGAAAAGAGAGUUAAACAGUACGUGAAAUUGUCAAAAGGGAAGCGUUUGACACCAGUGUUGUUUUUCUGAAAAUCAAUUAAAGAACUGUUUAUGCUAAGCUGUUUAGACUUUAUCAGCUACCUGUUUAGUUUUGAGCUUUUCUUUAAUGCACUUUUCAGUUAACAAGUCAACAUCAAUUUCUUUUGCUGUAAAAAAGCUUGAGGAAGGUGGCUUGAGAUUCGUCUUAAGUGUUUAUAGCCUCUUGCCUAUGCAGUCGGAGAGAUUGAGGUCUGCAGCGUAGAUCCUUCGGGGCUAAAUGCAUUUGUGCUAAGUUAUAGCAUUUUAUAGACAACUUGUUGACUAUGAUUUGUCUUGUAGCUUACUCGCUUAUGUUAUUUUACCUACGCUUAGGAUGUUGACGCGCGUGUGUGCGUG
rnacentral:rRNA from 1 species